GGGGAUUUAGCUUAGUGGUUCCAGCACCUGCUUUGCAAGCACAAGGACCCAAGUUUGAUCCCUGGUCCCCCCA
rfam:Fukomys damarensis contig149085, whole genome shotgun sequence.